rnacentral:rRNA from 1 species
GAUGAACGCUAGCAGCAGGCUUAAUACAUGCAAGUCGAGGGGCAGCGCAGUGUAGCAAUACAUGGGCGGCGACCGGCAAACGGGUGCGGAACACGUACGCAACCUUCCUUUAAGUGGGGGAUAGCCCAGGGAAACUUGGAUUAAUACCCCGUAAUAUUAUGAAGUGGCAUCACUUUAUACUUAUAGCUCCGGCGCUUAAAGGUGGGCGUGCGACUGAUUAGGUAGUUGGCGGGGUAACGGCCCACCAAGCCUGCGAUCAGUAACUGGUGUGAGAGCACGACCAGUCACACGGGCACUGAGACACGGGCCCGACUCCUACGGGAGGCAGCAGUAAGGAAUAUUGGUCAAUGGACGCAAGUCUGAACCAGCCAUGCCGCGUGGAGGAUGAAGGUCCUCUGGAUUGUAAACUUCUUUUAUUUGGGAAGAAACCCACUGUUUCUACGGUGGUUGACGGUACCAGAUAAAUAAGCACCGGCUAACUCCGUGCCAGCAGCCGCCGUAA